GUAAGGAAUAUUGGUCAAUGGGGGCAACCCUGAACCAGCCAUGCCGCGUGAAGGAUGAAGGCGUUAUGCGUUGUAAACUUCUUUUGUAUGGGAAGAAUGACAGGGAUUUAUCCUUGGAGAGACGGUACCAUACGAAUAAGCACCGGCUAACUUCGUGCCAGCAGCCGCGGUAAUACGAAGGGUGCAAGCGUUAAUCGGAAUUACUGGGCGUAAAGCGCGCGUAGGUGGUUUUGUAAGUUGGAGGUGAAAUCCCCGGGCUCAACCUGGGAACUGCCUCAAAAACUGCAUGACUAGAGUACGGUAGAGGGUAGUGGAAUUUCCUGUGUAGCGGUGAAAUGCGUAGAUAUAGGAAGGAACACCAGUGGCGAAGGCGACUACCUGGACUGAUACUGACACUGAGGUGCGAAAGCGUGGGGAGCAAACAGGAUUAGCAACCCGGGUAGUCC
rnacentral:rRNA from 1 species